UGAGGUGCUUGCACCUUAUCUUAGCGGCGGACGGGUGAGUAAUGCUUAGGAAUCUGCCUAUUAGUGGGGGACAACAUUCCGAAAGGAAUGCUAAUACCGCAUACGCCCUACGGGGGAAAGCAGGGGAUCUUCGGACCUUGCGCUAAUAGAUGAGCCUAAGUCGGAUUAGCUAGUUGGUGGGGUAAAGGCCUACCAAGGCGACGAUCUGUAGCGGGUCUGAGAGGAUGAUCCGCCACACUGGGACUGAGACACGGCCCAGACUCCUACGGGAGGCAGCAGUGGGGAAUAUUGGACAAUGGGCGGAAGCCUGAUCCAGCCAUGCCGCGUGUGUGAAGAAGGCCUUUUGGUUGUAAAGCACUUUAAGCGAGGAGGAGGCUACUUAGAUUAAUACUCUAGGAUAGUGGACGUUACUCGCAGAAUAAGCACCGGCUAACUCUGUGCCAGCAGCCGCGGUAAUACAGAGGGUGCGAGCGUUAAUCGGAUUUACUGGGCGUAAAGCGUGCGUAGGCGGCUGAUUAAGUCGGAUGUGAAAUCCCUGAGCUUAACUUAGGAAUUGCAUUCGAUACUGGUCAGCUAGAGUAUGGGAGAGGAUGGUAGAAUUCCAGGUGUAGCGGUGAAAUGCGUAGAGAUCUGGAGGAAUACCGAUGGCGAAGGCAGCCAUCUGGCCUAAUACUGACGCUGAGGUACGAAAGCAUGGGGAGCAAACAGGAUUAGAUACCCUGGUAGUCCAUGCCGUAAACGAUGUCUACUAGCCGUUGGGACCUUUGAGGCUUUAGUGGCGCAGCUAACGCGAUAAGUAGACCGCCUGGGGAGUACGGUCGCAAGACUAAAACUCAAAUGAAUUGACGGGGGCCCGCACAAGCGGUGGAGCAUGUGGUUUAAUUCGAUGCAACGCGAAGAACCUUACCUGGUCUUGACAUAGU
rnacentral:rRNA from 1 species